rnacentral:rRNA from 1 species
CUUUUAUCUGAGAGCAAAGGCUAGUCGUUAAUAGCGACUGGAGAUGAGAGUAUCAGAAGAAUAAGCACCGGCUAACUACGUGC